UUUCAAUGGUGGGAAAUUCUACAGUAAAAAAUAUUUUUUUUCUGUGAAUCACGAUACAGCAAUUUCUAGAGGAUUUUUUUUUUCCCAGAAAUGGAAAGCUGAAAAGCUAGAUUCCACACUUUCAUUGGAAUUUUAACUUCAGAAAGGUAACUUUGCUGAUUUAUUUCCACAGUUUACUCUAGUCAAGUUAACUAUUUGUUCAACUAAUUUAUUAUUUAUUAUUAUUUGUUCAAGAGUGCACUGAGAGAGAGAGAGGUAAAAGAGCGGGACACUUCCUAGUAAACUUGUGUCUUGUGUGCAUUUUAUUAGCAAAAAAAAAAAAAAAAAUAGUGCAUAAUUUCGAUCGAUUUUCUAAUCUGGCAACAUUCGAUAACGUCAUCAGUUUAGAGAAGGAUAGCAUUGUUGAAUAAAAAUUAAAUUGGAAUUGUGUAUGUGUCUGUUGGUGCACUAGCAGGAGUUUUCUCCAGCCAGCUAACGUCAACUGUCACCGCCGACACCGCGUGCGUGCGUGUGGAGCAGUGAAGCCAAGCCAGCCGACUCCAGAGUCCAGACUCGACAGAAAACGCAGUUAGAGGAAACUUCCCCCCAAGCAGACGUUGAGGACCAGAUUUCUCUGCCAAGCACUCUAAGACUCAUCAUGCUCGGAGAGUCCAUUCUGGGGGCAAAUAGGUGGAUGCUUUCCAUCGAGGGCAGAGUUCUCCAACCAAAUCCAACUGAGUGACCGUUUUGAAUUCACUUCUGCUCUGGCUGUCCUUUUUGCAUCAUACUAUAUAUUUAACAUGGAAUAUCCUGCGGAGGCAGCCACCACAUUAGAAUGUAUCCAGAGGUAAGCACUUAUUUGUUGUUGAUAUAUUUUUGACUAGGAAUGGGAACAAAUAUUUGAGUACUCAUUCUUUAACCACCUACCUGAUUAGUAAAAUACUUAUCAAAGUGUUUAUUUGGGUUUAUAUGGACUGUUGUGUAAUUUUUAAACAUCAAACUUUUAUUUUAACUCACCAUGCAAAUGGUAGAAAAGUAAGCACAGCCGCUCUAAAGUCUAAAAUUCAUGCACAUCACAUUUUCUUUUCGUCACUUUAUUACUAAAGUACUUGGUUUUUAGAGUA